rnacentral:rRNA from 1 species
CAGCCGCCGCGGUAAUACGAAGGGGGCUAGCGUUGCUCGGAAUCACUGGGCGUAAAGGGUGCGUAGGCGGGUCUUUAAGUCAGGGGUGAAAUCCUGGGGCUCAACUCCAGAACUGCCUUUGAUACUGAAGAUCUUGAGUUCGGGAGAGGUGAGUGGAACUGCGAGUGUAGAGGUGAAAUUCGUAGAUAUUCGCAAGAACACCAGUGGCGAAGGCGGCUCACUGGCCCGAUACUGACGCUGAGGCACGAAAGCGUGGGGAGCAAACAGGAUUAGAUACCCCUGUAGUCCCUGUCUCUUAUAC